rnacentral:rRNA from 1 species
UACGGGGGGUGCGAGCGUUGUCCGGAAUCACUGGGCGUAAAGGGCGCGUAGGUGGUCUGAUAAGGCUGUGGUGAAAGCCCGGGGCUCAACCCCGGGUCUGCCGUGGCGACUGUCAGACUGGAGGGCUCGAGAGGCAGACGGAAUUCCGGGUGUAGCGGUGGAAUGCGUAGAGAUCCGGAAGAAGACCGGUGGCGAAGGCGGUCUGCUGGCGAGUACCUGACACUGAGGCGCGACAGCGUGGGGAGCAAACAGG